AGAAAACCAAAAUCAUUGUUCUUUGAUAGGACAGUACUGGCCCAAAUCAAGAAGAUUUUUCAAUUUGAUGAAAAUCAAAAUUAAAUGGUUGAAAUCUUGGUUGGUUCUUCACAUUUGGUUGACGUUUAUUUUUAUAUAAAAGGUGCCAAUUUUAAUGAUUGGAACCAAAUUAGUGGUUUAGCUGCUGUUUUGCACAUGUUUGUCCCAAAUUACUGCAUGGCGCUCUGUAAAUUUCUUGGGGAGAGGACAAAAUCAGUGAUUAUCGGCUUUUUACAUCGUUCGGAAGUGUUGUAUAGUGGCAGAAAUUUAAUAUUUGAAACAAGAAAUUUGAAAUAAUACGCAAAAUUUAAAAGAAAAAAAACAAACAAAUCUAAAAAUAAGAAUAAAUAUUAAAUACGAAUACAUAAAAUCUAAAAGUGAGAAAAAGAUAUAAAUUUUAAAAGAAUACAUUAAAAACUCCCUAGGAAAAUUUAAAAAAAUUAAAGAAAAGAGCAAGAACAAGUGAUUUAUUUAGUUACACUAACAAAAUAUUAGUGAACAAACCAGUUUGCUCAUACACGGCUAAACAAAAACCUAAAAAAAAAUAUUUCAAACAAAAUAAACGAGAAUCCAAUAUAGAAAGAAAAAUGUUUAACAAAUAAAAGAAAAUAUAAUUAAGAAGUGAGCAUCUUUGAAAAAAAGAAACAAUAUUAAAAUAAAAAAAAUUAAAUUUUUGCUUAAUUUUGAAAGAAAUUCAUUUCGCAUAAAAGAAAAUUAAAAUCUAGAAAGAAUUAAAAUUUAGAAAAUAUAAAAUUUAAAACCUAAAAUAAUUAAAAUUUGGAAAAAAAAAAUUACAUUUAAAAACUAGAAAAAUUAUCUAAAAGAAAAUAUGUUAAAAUUUUAAAUUUUAAUUAAUUAAGUGUUUAGUGUUUUUUUGUAUCACCGUCGGUUAGUGUAACAGAAGAAUUUAGUUAAUUUUGAUAAAGUAAACAAGCUUGCCUAUAAUGUAAUUGCAUUUACA